CAGCCGCCGCGGUAAUACGAAGGGUGCAAACGUUGCUCGGAAUUACUGGGCGUAAAGCGUGCGCAGGCGGUUUGUUAAGACAGAUGUGAAAUCCCCGGGCUUAACCUGGGAACUGCAUUUGUGACUGGCAAGCUAGAGUAUGGCAGAGGGGGGUGGAAUUCCGCGUGUAGCAGUGAAAUGCGUAGAUAUGCGGAGGAACACCGAUGGCGAAGGCAGCCCCCUGGGCCAAUACUGACGCUCAUGCACGAAAGCGUGGGGAGCAAACAGGAUUAGAUACCCGGGUAGUCCCUGUCUCUUAUAC
rnacentral:rRNA from 1 species